rnacentral:lncRNA from 1 species
AUUUAGCUAAAAUGCAGAUCUCAACUGGUCACUUCCCUGCGUAAAAGCUUCAAUAGCUUUCUAUCGCCUACAGGCAAAAGUCCCUCUUCUGAAAAGCGGCUUGCAAAGCCCUAGUAGCUGGCUCCAUGCCCCCCAGCAAUACGUGGCCUCCUCAGACGCAUCUUCUAGCAAAGGAGAGCUGCUCAGUGACAUCCACAAACCGAGCUGCUUCUCACCUACCUGUUUUCCUUCUCUUUGGGAUGCCCCCCGCCCUCACCUUCUGCUUCUGGCUAACUCCUAGGCAUCCUUGAAGGCUUGGCUCAGUAUCCUCUCCUCCAGGAAGCUGUCCCUCACCUUCUCUCCUUUCCCUCCAUCCCAGUCACCAUGCACCACACCCAUAUCCCCAUUGCAUCCUGCAGCUACCUUGUGCCUGCACACGUUGGGCUGGGCAUGCAUCUCCUUCUCUCUCAAGACCUGGAUCCCUUCACUUUGUGUCUCUGGACCCCCCAGUGUGCUGAUAAUGGGGUUGGAACCCAUCAUAUUUCUCUUGAACGAGUUAAUGAUGGGACUGCUAUUUCUCUAACUGUUGCCUUGGAGGCCCUGUCACGUGCUCAUGGAAGAGAGCCAGGGGGGUGGAGGUGAUUCUUGUUACCCAGAGGACGUGGGGUCUGGAUACACGUUUCUGCCAUCUGCCAUCUGCCAGCUUCUUUCUGGUUGGUAGCUUUGGAGCCUGGUGCAGCUGGGGCCAGUCCCGAGCCUGGACUCUGCUGGGCAGUGGCAAGAGCACUGUCUGGAGCUCUCCUGAGGAGCCCACAGAUCCAACUCCCUAGGCCAAGGCUGCAGCCUGGGGCAGAGAUGCAGAGGCCUGGAGGAGCCUAGGGCACGCGGCCUGCGGGCUGGCUGGGGUUCAGAGUUCGUAUGUGUGUGGAGUGACUGGGCAGGUGUUCAGAAAUGAAGGCUGGCACUGCCAGGUAAGGCCCUUCCCUCCCUGAUGUGAGAGCCCUGGAGCCACCGCAGAGGCCCAGUCAGAUCUCUGUUCUAAUUCUGGCCUGGUGUGGAGGAUGAGGAGAGACGGCCCAGAAAGGAAGGCAGACUGUGCAGACCCCAUGUCUUCUGGCCCGCGAGGCCCUCCUCCUGUGCCUGCUUAUCUUAAAGAAUCCGGGAUAAGAGGUGACUUGGGCCUUGGCCGGGAGGCCCCUCCUCAGCUUCAGACAAGGAGGGAGCUCUGGGCAUGAGGACAUUGAGCAAGAGGCGAUGGCAGUGCCCACAACUUACCCUCAGCUCGGCUCUGUUGGGUCCGAGAAGUUGCAUGGAAAGGGCUCCUUGGGGGCCAGUUGUCAGUAAGCUGCAGAAGCCUGGAGCCGGCCAGGAAAUAACCACGUGUAGGAGCCUUCUCAGCUGAGAGGAAGGAGGACUCACGCGCGGCGAGCACAUGCUUGGAGCCAGGCACAGGGCAUGGACUGGAACUCCCAAUACCCCUGACAUGGGCUGAGUCAACGUGGUCAUGAACAUGUGACAGGAGGCAGCAGAAGUUGCAGAGAAGAGUGAGGCACGUUUGAAAAAGGCUGAAAAAUGUUUCUGUCCAGGCAAGGGUGUGUGCUGAAUGACUCAAGGAUUUUUUGGUGCAUUGAAUGAACAGCGGGACAUUGGACACCUGCUGAUCCAUCACCCCGGGCCCGGGCAGGCCCGUGGAUGAAGAGAGAUGGAGAAGACCAGGCAUGAGACUGUGGAGAAGCCACACCACCAGAAACCCCUGCCCCAUGCGCCGUCCAGCCCACACCUGUGGAUGCACGGGGGAUUGCAGGCAGGGCUCCCACCGUGGACUCAGGAACAGGCAGGGAAGCUGCUGCCUCACCAGGCGAAG